rnacentral:rRNA from 1 species
CAGUAGCCACGGGAAUACGAAGGGGGCUAGCGUUGUUCGGAUUUACUGGGCGUAAAGCGCACGUAGGCGGAUCGAUCAGUCAGGGGUGAAAUCCCAGAGCUCAACUCUGGAACUGCCUUUGAUACUGUCGAUCUGGAGUAUGGAAGAGGUGAGUGGAAUUCCGAGUGUAGAGGUGAAAUUCGUAGAUAUUCGGAGGAACACCAGUGGCGAAGGCGGCUCACUGGUCCAUUACUGACGCUGAGGUGCGAAAGCGUGGGGAGCAAACAGGAUUAGAUACCCCCGUAGUCCCUGUCUCUUAUAC